rnacentral:rRNA from 1 species
AUUCCAGCUCCAAUAGCGUAUAUUUUAGUUGUUGCAGUUAAAAAGCUCGUAGUUGAAUUUCUGGUGGGAGAAUGCAGUCCAACCUUAGGGUUGGUACUCGCACUCUCCGGCCAUCCUUGGGUGGAGCCUGUCUGGCAUUAAGUUGUCGGGCAGGGGAUACCCAUCGUUUACUGUGAAAAAAUUAGAGUGUUCAAAGCAGGCUUAUGCCGUUGAAUAUAUUAGCAUGGAAUAAUAAGAUAGGAUCUUGAUACUAUUUUGCUGGUUUGCGUGUCGAGAUAAUGAUGAAUAGGGACAGUUGGGGGUAUUUGUAUCCCAUAGUCAGAGGUGAAAUUCUUGGAUUUAUGGAAGACAAACUAAUGCGAAAGCAUCUACCAAGGAUGUUUUCAUUA